rnacentral:rRNA from 1 species
GAAGAACGCUGGCGACGUGCCUAAUACAUGCAAGUCGAACGCAGUGGGGACGGGUGAGUAACACGUGGGUAACCUCCCAUCAGAGGGGAUAACACUUGGAAACAGGUGCUAAACUGAUAUUGAUGGAUGGACCCGCGGGGCAUUAGCUAGUUGGUGAGGUAGCGGCUCACCAAGCCCACGAUGCAUAGCCGUCCUGCGAGGGUGAACGGCCACACUGGGACUGAGACACGGCCCAGACUCCUACGGGAGGCAGCAGUAGGGAAUCUUCGGCAAUGGCCGAAAGUCUGACCGAGCAACGCCGCGUGAGUGAAGAAGGUUUUCGGAUCGUAAAACUCUGUUGUUAGAGAAGCGGUAUCUAACCAGAAAGCCACGGCUAACUCCGUGCCAGCAGCCGCGGUAAUAC